CAGUAGCCGCGGGAAUACGGAGGGUGCAAGCGUUAAUCGGAAUUACUGGGCGUAAAGCGCACGCAGGCGGUCUGUUAAGUCAGAUGUGAAAUCCCCGGGCUUAACCUGGGAACUGCAUUUGAAACUGGCAGGCUUGGGUCUUGUAGAGGGGGGUAGAAUUCCAGGUGUAGCGGUGAAAUGCGUAGAGAUCUGGAGGAAUACCGGUGGCGAAGGCGGCCCCCUGGACAAAGACUGACGCUCAGGUGCGAAAGCGUGGGGAGCAAACAGGAUUAGAUACCCCUGUAGUCCCUGUCUCUUAUAA
rnacentral:rRNA from 1 species